GGCUGGUCCGAUGGCAGUGGGUUAUCAGAACUUAUUAACAUUAGUGUCACUAAAGUUGGUAUACCCCCCCCCCCCUGCUAAAUUUGACUGGCUUUAA
rnacentral:Y_RNA from 1 species